rnacentral:ncRNA from 1 species
AUAUCGACGAUGUGAAGGAUUAGUAAUAUACAUUUUCAGGCGAAGAGAGGCAGUGGUUGGUGAAAACUGUCGUUGAAGUGUUUAUGAACUCACCUUCAAAGUUGCAGGAGUGAAAAUAAGUAAUUCCUGCCGUAUAUCUGCGUUAUAGAUACAAGUGAACACAUUAGUGUUAAUUUGGGUGGUACCGCGGGAAGUUAAAGCCUCUCGUCCCUUUU